rnacentral:lncRNA from 1 species
GAAAGUUCUUUCAUCAUACUCUUUCCUUGGGGCUGUUGAAGAUAUUAUCCUGCAGGCUUUAUGUGCUUCUUGUACACUAUGGUCAUUGAUGAAGAUGUUGAACAAGACCAGACCCAGUACUGAGCAACCCCUGGGGAUCACUGCUAGCUACAGAUCUUCAACUAGACAACACUGCUGAUCGACAGACCUUUGAGCUCUGCCAGUUAGCCAGUUCUCAGCCCAUCUCACUGUCC